rnacentral:rRNA from 1 species
GACGAACGCUGGCGGCGUGCCUAAUACAUGCAAGUCGAACGCUGAAGAGAGGAGCUUUCUCUUCUUGGAUGAGUUGCGAACGGGUGAGUAACGCGUAGGUAACCUGCCUUGUAGCGGGGGAUAACUAUUGGAAACGAUAGCUAAUACCGCAUAACAAUGGAUGACACAUGUAACUUAUUUGAAAGGGGCAAUUGCUCCACUACAAGAUGGACCUGCGUUGUAUUAGCUAGUAGGUGAGGUAAUGGCUCACCUAGGCGACGAUACAUAGCCGACCUGAGAGGAUGAUCGGCCACACUGGGACGGAGACACGGCCCAGACUCCUACGGGAGGCAGCAGUAGGGAAUCUUCGGCAAUGGGGCCAACCUGACCGAGCAACGCCGCGUGAGUGAAGAAGGUUUUCGGAUCGUAAAGCUCUGUUGUAAGUCAAGAACGAGUGUGAGAGUGGAAAGUUCACGCUGUGACGGUAGCUUACCAGAAAGGGACGGCUAACUACGUG